CAGAGUCUCAUCUGCCUCCACCCGGCCUCAGUUCCUCAUCACUGUUUCUGUGCUCACAGUCAUCGAUUAUAGACCCCACAACAUGCGCCCUGAAGACAGAAUGUUCCAGACCAGAGGUGUGAUCUUGAGAGCCCUCUCCUUGGCUGUCCUGCUAAGUCUCCGAGGAGCUGGGGCCAUCAAGGCGGACCAUGUGUCCACUUUUGCCAUGUUUAUACAGACGCAUAGACCGACAGGGGAGUAUAUGUUUGAGUUUGAUGAGGAUGAGAUGUUCCAUGUGGAUCUGGACAAGAAGGAGACUGUCUGGCAUCUAGAGGAGUUUGGCCGAGCCUUUUCCUUGGAGGCUCAGGGCGGGCUGGCUAACAUUGCUGCAUUGAACGACCACUUGAAUGCCAUGAUCCAGCAUUCCAACCACACUCAGGCCGCCAAUGAUCCACCUGAGGUGACCGUGUUUCCCAAGGAGCCUGUGGAGCUGGGCCAGCCCAACACCCUCAUCUGCCACAUUGACAAGUUCUUCCCACCAGUGCUCAACGUCACAUGGCUGUGCAACGGGGAGCCGGUCACUGAGGGUGUCGCCGAGAGCCUCUUCCUGCCCAGAACAGGUUACAGCUUCCACAAGUUCCAUUACCUGACCUUUGUGCCCUCGGCCGAGGACGUCUAUGACUGCAGGGUGGAGCACUGGGGCUUGGACCAGCCACUCCUCAAGCACUGGGAGGCCCAAGAGCCAAUCCAGAUGCCUGAGACGACGGAGACUGUGCUCUGUGCCCUGGGCCUGGUGCUGGGCCUAGUGGGCAUCAUCAUGGGCACCAUCCUCAUCUUAAAGGCUAUGCGUUCUAGUCGUGACCCCCGCGCCCAGGGGACCCUGUGAAAUACUCUAAAGGUGGGAAUGUAAAGAGGAGGCCCUAGAAUCUGUAGAAUGUAAGGAAGGGAGGAAAAAUUCAAUCUGAUAAGUGUUCAUUGAUCUCCUAAUGCGUUAAAAGCAUUCAGCCACAUAACAACAACAACAUUGAUAACUAACUGAGUAGUUAAUAUGCUCAGGUGCUAUUCUAAGCAUUUACAUUUAUUAACUCACUUUUUUCUCACAAAUAGUCUUUGAGGUAGGUACUAUUAUUUUCACCAUUUCACAUGAGAGAUAAUUCUAUCUUUUUACAUACACAGAGAUCUGAAGCACCUUGAUCAAGUUCCCACAGCUAUGAAGUAGUAGGGCUAGCUUCCAAUCCAGAAAGUCUGGAUCCCAGACUGUUUAUCCACUGUCUUAUUCACCCUAUUUUGUGAAGGAAAAGACAAAGUUCAAAUUCUCCAAGAGUCCAUUGUCUAGUAAUGGAGCCAGAUCUAUAUUUGUAUACAUAAUUACAACACACUGUGGUGGGUGCCUGUACUAUUUACUGUCUUUACUUGGACUCAUUCCGUGGCAAUGCUCACACAAAAAAUGCCCUUCCUGAGAUUUUAUAUUUUCUAUUUAUUAUAACACUCACCAUAUUUUAUAUUUUUAUAUGUUUUGGGAAUUCUGUUAGCAUUAGAUAGUGAACUUCCAUGCAGAUGACCACAUCUAAUUCAUUAUUAUUAUUGUUAUUCAUUCUGGACCUCAGGUACAAAAGGUUAAGAACUUCUCAGUUCAUUAUACUAUCAUCAUUGGUGCCUCCGAACUCUCUCUCUCUCUCUCUCGAUUUGUUUGGUCCCUUUCAUCCCCAGUCCUUACUCCCAUAUCUAACCUCUUACUCUUACCUCAUUGGUAAACAUUUUAAUGAAUUUGAUGUUUCCUUUUAUUUGCAUAGAUCCUGUACAAUAUGCAGUAGUGUCCAGUGUACAUGUAUUUUUAAUUAACCAAAAUGGCAUUAAAUUAUAGAUCUAAUUUUGUACAUCCAUUUUGUUUCUUCCAAAUCCUCCAUAGUAUUAUACUCUAUACGUCCAUGCAUUAGUCCAUUUUGCAUUGCUAUAAAGGAAUAUCUGAAGUUACCUAAUUUAUGAAGAAAAGAGCUUUAAUUGGCUCACAGAUCUGCAGGCUGUAUGAGAAACAUGCCACUGGCAUCUGCUUCUGUUGGGGGAUUCAGGAAGCUUUUACCCAUGGUGGAAGGCAAAAGAAGCCGGUGCAUCACAUGGUCAGAGAGGGAGAAAGAGAGAGAGAAAGAGGUGCCAGGCUCUUCUUAACAACCAGGUUUCACGUACACUAAUAGAGUGAGAACUCACUCAUUACCCUGGGGAGGGCACCAAGCCAUUCGUAUGGGAGUCUCCCCCAUGAUUCAAAUACCUCCCACCAGGCCCCACCUGCAACAUUGGGGAUCAAUUUUCAACAUGAGACUUGGAAGUGACAAAUAUCCAAAUCAUAUCAAUCCACAUAUCUAUAUUGCUCCUGGGAUACCUGGAUCAUCCCUGGUUCGCUACUAUUGCAAGCGAUGAUUGUAUCUCACAUGGACCUGCGUAUGCAUGUAGACCUGACCUGCAUCCCUGAAAUGUAUGUAUCCUAGAAAGGGGUUGCAGGGUCUCUGGAGAUGCAGCUCCUUAAUUUGACUAAGUAUUGCUCAUCUGCUCAUCAGAAUGGCUGUACUUAUCUGUACUUCCUUUGUCAGUACCUGAAAUGUCCUGCAACUCCUAAAUGCACAUCAACACUGGACAUUAUCCAGUUUUCUAACUUUUGCCAAUUUCAUGUGCAUAAAGAAAUAUGCUGUUUUAUAAUUAUUUAUAAUUAUAAUUAUUUAUAAUUGGGGCUAUAAUUGGGACUGAUUAGCCACUUGGGGGUUCCUUUUCUAUAAAUUGCCUGUUCACAUUCUAUGCUCAUUUUUGUACUGUGGGCUUCUAUCUUUUUCUUAUAGAUUUGCAGGAGAUCCUUAUAUAGUCCUGCUAGUAGUCCCUUGUCAGUUUUAGGCAUUGCAACUGUUUUCCCCUAAUCUGACUUCUGGCAACUUUCUCCUUGGUUUCCUUUAUUGAAGAGAAAUCCUUAGUAUUUUGUAAUGAAGUCCAUCAACUGUUUUUUUGUUUGUGUGUGUUUUUUAAAAGAAGUCUUCCCUAUACUGAGAUAUCAAAGAUACUCUUAAAAUAUCUCCUAUAGUUUUAAAUUUCACAUUUACUACUUUAAUUCGUCUGGGAUUCACCUUUGUGUUUGAUGGGGAUCAUGUUUUAUUUUUCUCUAUAUAAAGAGCCAGUGUUCCCAGAACUACUAAAUAGUUCACCUUUCCCCCAUAUGUUUGUGGUGUCUCUUUGCUAUACUGAAAGCCCCCAUUACAGACGGGCCUGUGUCUGAGUUCCAUGUUGUUCCGCUGCUCUGUUUGUCUCUUCUUGUGCUGAAGGGGUGUCCUAGUGUUUUGAUUACUAUGACAUUGUAGUGUGUGUUAGUAUCCAGUAGGACAAAUUCUUUAUUUUUCUUUGUUCACACACAUUUAUAUCUAUAAUGAUUUAUAACAGAAUGAAGUGAAUGGAGAAUGUCAGAUGUUAAGAGGAAGUAUGGAAAGGAGGGCUGGGACUAGGGUGAUGUAAGAGAUGCACUUGACUUAGGUGCAAAAUUUGGGGGAUACCAAAAGAACUCAGUAAUAAAAGUAAAUCAUAUUUUAAUGAAAUAUCUUGAAAGAGCAAAAUUAAUGCAAAGAUACAUGAUUAACCAAAUAUCAAAACAGGAGUAUUUAAUGAAAAUGGAGGAGAAGCAGAGAGGCAGAAGAAUUAAGGCAAUGUGUUGUCGCAUAAGCCAAGGAAUUAAAGAAUUCCAGGAAAGAGGAAGUACUGCUGUCAGAUGUUCAACAGAGAUCGUUUUAGAGAAUUUACCUUGGCUUUGAAAUCCUUUCAAAGAGCAGUUUACACAAUGUGAGCAAGUAUCCUUCCUUCAUUGCCUUCAUUGAUAUGGUUUGGAUGUUUGUCCCUUCCAAGUCUCACUCCAGAGUUAAGCUUCUUCUCUGCCCUCAGUAAUGUGGCCCUUCUCCUUGUCAGGAUAUUUUAGAGACAUGAAGCUUAUGGGAUGCCCUCAAAGUCAGCUGGAGUUUGGUGGUGAAAUUCGAUGACUUUAGGGAACUCCUUCGCUCCUAUGUGCUGUUCACCUGGAGGACCAGGGCAUGUGCACAGAUGACCACCUUCUCCCUGGGACCUGAACAGGGCGGAGAAAUGGGAAGAUCAGAUACAAAGGGAGUGGAGAAGAUGGGUCUGGGCUUACAGUACUGAACCCAGGAAUGACAGUAACCAUGUGUGUUGCUGCAGGUGACAAAAUAUCUGAACAGAAGAGGACUUAGGAGAGAUCUGAACUCCAGCUGCUCUACAAACUACACCUCAGCUUUUCUUCUCACUUCAUGUGUUCACUACCCCAGUGGCUGACUGAAUUGCUGACCCUUCAAACUCUGUCCUUAUCUGUUACCUUAAAGCAGUCAUUCCUCAGUAAAGUUCCCAACAAAUAGAAGGUAAUGAAUAAAUGUCGACACUUUUGUAGCACUGAUAUGGAGAUUAUCCCUUCAUUGAGCCUUUUAUCCUCUGGUCUCCUUUGAAGAAACUUCACUGUCACCUUCCCAAGAAUACCCUAAGACCAAUAAAUACUUCAGUAUGUCA